CCGCUGGCUUCAAGAACCAGACCUCCAGGAAGGCAUUAGAGCAGUUCGCUGAGAGGAUCCCCAAUGGAACUAUCAGGCAGAUUCCACAGGUAUAGCUAGGCAAGAUUACAUGAUUUCCUGCCUAGCUGAAGGGCUUAAAAGGGCAGCUUACAAAGCUGUUAAUUAUGACAAGCUUAAAGAAACUACCCAAGGUAAAGACGAAAACCCAGCCCAGUUCAUGGCCCGCUUAGCAGCAACCCUUAGACGCUUUACCGCCCUAGACCCAGAAGGGCCAGAAGGCGGUCUUAUUCUUAAUAUGCAUUUUAUCACCCAAUCCACUCCUGACAUUGGGAAAAAACUUCAAAAGUUAGAAUCUCGCCCUCAAACCCCACAACAGGAAUUAACCUCGCCUUCAAGGUGUACAAUAAUGGAGAGGAGGUAGCCAGACAGCAAUGCAUUUCUGAGUUACAGCUGCUUGCCUCCGCUGUAAGACAGCCCACAACCACGUCUCCAGCAUACAAGAACUUCAGAACAUCCAAGUCACAGCUCCCAGGGGCUCCUUCAAAACAUCCUCGUGGGCCUUGCUUCAAAUGCCAAAAGCAUAGCCACUAGGCCAAGGAGUGCCUGCAGCCUGGGAUUCCUCCUAGGAUGUGCCCUGUCUGUGCGGGCCCCCACUGGAGGUCAGACUGUCUGACUCACAUCGCCGCCACUCCUAAAGCCCCUGGAGCCCAAACCCAACGUUCCUUGGCUGACUCCUUCCCAGAUCUCCUUGGCUUUGUGGCUGAAGACUGACGCUGCCCGAUCGCCUUGGAAGCCCCCUGGACCAUCACGGACACCGAGCUUCAGGAUGGGCUGCUGUUGACCUCGCUGCUGACCUUGCUGCUGACCUCACUGCUGACCUUGCUGCUGACUUCACCGUUUCUCCCAAUAUAUGUCAGCUGAGUGGACUUUUGGCUGCCGGACAUGAAGAAAUCAUAUAAUCAAUUAAGCAAUCAAUCAACAAAUAUAUAGUGGACUUCUGCAAUUUGCAAGGCUCUGUGGCAAAUUGUACAAGCCCCAGGAACCAUCUACAUUCCAGACAGUGGAGACUUUGCCAGCCUGCAUUCUUGUGUGAAGCUUGGAGGGAGGAGAACCCCCAGCUGAUCCCCACUGGAUCUAAUAGAGCAGGAAGAUAGGAGCCUGGGUCCCUCACAAUGUGAAGCUUCUAUCCUUCCCUGAAAAGCCUACCACUGGAUUUGUUUUACAUGAAUGAGAAAUAAACCACUAUUUUUCAGAUUUUUAUUUUCUACUAUCCCAUAUAUCCACAGCACUAUAUCUGACCAUAAUUAUUUACAAACCAGGACUUUUUCACUAACUAAUUGUAUCAAUUGAUGGUGACAUCCUUCAUAAAUCUGGGCAUUUUUCUUCACUUGCCAACAAAAAGGUAGUUGUGGGUACUACGGCUCCAAUGAAGAUGAGAUAACUGAGAUGAUACAGGCAUCAUACAUUACAUGCCUUCCGGAAGUGAGAUGUGACUCUCAUACAUGUAAGCCAGUCUUCUAAAAUGAUAUUCUGCAUUUUCUGGAUCACUCUGCCUGCUCAUCUACUAUCAGUGCAGCAUCGGUCAGCACCCUACCAGGAUAAAUGGAGUUUAUAAAGGAUUUCUGGCCUCACUCAGAAACAGCUGGACAAAUGAGUUUUACGAACUCAUCAAAGAUCCGUAAGCAAUUUAUAUAGGAACUUCAAAUUAGCUGAUAAGCACUUUUAUUUUUGGUCCUCGUUUAUUUAUUGCCACUUCACACUGAUCAACUUCAACUAAAAUGUUGCUGUUUUGUGGCAAUCUUCUAAUCAUCAUUUGUGUAGUAUUCUGAAGUUGGCAGGGUAUCGAGGACUCAGAGUUCAAUACUUGAAUUUUACAUUUGAGGAAUGUAAAUGGCUAAUCAAGAGCCAUCCGCUAAAUUCAAGUUAGAACUGAGAGCCCCGGACUCUCAGUUCAUCGCUCUUUUCUCUCAGCUAGGCUUCCCUAGAAGGCCAUUUCAGAUUCCUUUCCUCUACUUGAAAUUUAAUCUUAACUCGUAGCAUAUACUCACUCAGCAUUUAGCUGAGUGAGAUCUUUCAAGCUGGGUCCAACUUGUGCGUUUCUUCCAGUCUUAUCUCAAUAUCUCUCUGGCAUUUUGUGUGUGUGUGUGUGUGUGUGUGUGUGUGUGGCCCUUCUUAAUGUUUUCUCCUGAAUUCCUGAAGCAAAUUCCUUCUUUAAUCAUUCUCCUUCUUUUGGGGCAUCUGUACUCUCUCUCAGCCAGUUUCUUCUCUCCUGCUUACACAUAUACCUAGGUCUUUCCUAUUUUUAUAUAGUGGACAUAUUUUAAUGUUUUAAAUAAAAUUUAUUGUACUGUCUGAGCUUUCAAAUUCUUUUUCAUUCUCGGGGCAGCUUUGCUCAGAAAUGGUUAUUGCAGAUCAUUUAUUACUCACUGCUUUUCUUUUUCUUUAUUUAAAAUUUUAGAUUCAGGGGUAUAUGUACAGGUUUGCUACAUGGGUAUAUUAUGUUAUGCUGAGGUUUGGGGUAUGGACCCCGUCACCCAGGUAGUGAACAUAGUACCCAAUAGUUAGUUUGUCAGCCUACAUCCCUCUCCCACUCUCCCUGCUCUGACUGUCUCCAGUUUCUAUGGUUUCUAUCUUUAUGUCCUUGUAUACUCAAUCUUUGGUUCCCACUUAUAAGUGAGAACACGUAGUAUUUGAUUUCCUGUUUUUACUUUUCACUUUUUUAUGGGAUUUUUUUUGUCAUUCUGUGACACUCUUUUUCUCUUUACCCCUUUUCCUGUUGUUGAUAAGAAAUAUCCUUGUAUUCUUAAUAGCUAGCAUAGUGCCUGGCAUAUGCUGAGUGUUCUGUAAAUUUUUUAAAUAAAUAAAUGAUUAAAAUAGUAGAAAAAUUAUGAUAACCCUUAGGAAACCUGACUCUUCAUUAAACAUGCUUAAAUAGGAACCAGGCUAUGUGUACAAAUAUAAACAUAAACAUACAUACAAAGGAGGAGCUCAGAAGCUUUUUAUGUGCUCACUAUGCAUUCAUCUGUUCAAAGCCCCUUACAUGUUAUUGUCUCAUUUGAUAAUAAUAAUAGUUAUUAUUAUUUUAAUGGUGACUGCAGAUAGUGCUCAGAAUGGGUUAGGUACCAUUUAGAUCACAUUACUGUGUAUUCACAAGAACUCUAUGUGGUAGGCACUUUUUUACCUUAACAGAGACACAGAGAGAAAUAGCUUUUGCAUUUACACAGCUAGUGAGUAGGAGAGUGAGGACUUGAACUUAUGCAUUCUGACUCUAGAGUCUAUACUCUAAUCACUCUUAUCACCCAAGGUCUCACAAGUAGAGUGGGUGUUCCAAAGAAAGCAUACUCUGUAUCCUACUCCAAGGACCAUUUCCCUAAAACAUCUUCCUUUCCAGCUUCCAUGGUAAGUGACUAAAUUUUUUUAUUAUUCAGUGAUAAUCUUUACAGAAGGGACUUAAAGAACUGAAAAAUAAACCCUACAAAGGUAUCAUGCAAAAUAAAAAUGAUAUAAAGCUGUAAUCAAUCAUUGACAUUUUAGCAUAAAAUUAUUUAUCAGAUAAACAUUAUUGGUCCUUGACUCUUAAGGAAAUUGGACAUGAGACAGACAGUAAGUCAAGUUUUGAAAUUUGGACAAAUUAAAAAGCCUUUGAAUCUGCUACCAUCAAAGUACUCUAUACUGUGUGAUUACUUCUGUCUUGCCUGAUUAUGCCUAAUUUUGAAUAUAUUCAUUUUAUUUUAGAUUAUAUAUUUCACUUUGCAUCAUAUCAUUGGGACCAAUGAUUUCUUUCUUUAGCUCAAGCUGCAUAUCUUAAGAAGUAUUAUUAAUAAGCAUAAUUUAGACAUAUUUCUCUCACCUGAAGAAAUAAUCUCCAAUUUUAUAGUAUAAGUCUAGUGGGAAAGCUGUGUCUAAUAUAGAAUUUUGCUUUAGCAAUUACUUUUAUUUACAUCUUGUUUCAAGACACAGCCAUUGAGCUAGGUAUUCCUGGGUGACAGCCAACCUCUAAUUUUUAUUUAUUGCCUGCGCCAACUUUGUGCUUUUUAAGCUUCUAAUAAAGAACACUUGGUUUAAGCAAUUUUGUAGUCAUCCCUCAUGUAUGGGACCUCAUGUAACAUGUUUUGUAAUGACAUACAUCAUCUUUUAUAAUAAAAUUUCAUCUUAUGAGUCUUUCAAGUAGUAAAUCCCUUUUGAUUUCUCAGCAGGAUAAAGUUCUACAUGUAUAUUAUACAUGAAUCAUCUGUUUUCUUUAGCAAUUCACUGAUCUCAUAAAGCAUGCAUCUGGGUAAAGAACUACUGAAGAUUUAAACCUCCUUUAUUUGGAUGAGAUAUGUAUUGAAAAUGAAAAAUUGUUAAGCUAACAGUAGCAAAUUCCAUGUAUUUGGAAGAGUGAUUUCAUCAAGCUUUUCUCUAAUCCAUUGGAUUUUAAAACAAUUCAUAGUUACUUAAGAGUUUACUUAAAUAGUAACCCUCAGACAGCAGAACUUUCUCUGGAAGCCUCCCUCAGGAAAUAGUCUUGUGUGUUCUCUUCCUUGAAUAAAACUAAAUGGCAAGAUUAGGCAAUGGAUGGAUACUUUCUAAUUGUUCACUUUUAGAAUGCUAGAACUCACGUUAAUUUCAGAGGAACUUCAACUUUCAUUUUUCAAGACAUUAUUAUAGAAACAGAGCAUUUGGUGAAAUGUUAACAGGAUAUCAAAUUAUGGAUCUUCCCAUUUGGAAGUGUUAUUAGCCAGAGUUCUCAAGAAAGAAAGAACCAAUAGGAUGGGUGAAUAGAUAGAUAGAUCAGUGAGAGGGGAUUUAUUGGGGGAAUUCGUUCAUGCAAUUAUGGAGCCAGAAAUGUUCUACAAUAGGCCCUCUGCAAGCUGGAGAUCCACGAUGCUGGUAGCGUGGCUCAGUCCAAGUCUGAAUGCCCUGGAACAAGCAAUGCUGUAACUCAGUUUGAGGCCAAAGACCCAAGAACCCGAGUAUGGAGAAGCACUGAAGUCCAAAGGUCAGAGAGCCUCAGGUUCUGGUGAUGUCCAAGAGUAGGAGGAGAAGGAUGUCUCAGCUCCAGGAGACAAAAAGAGAGAAAAAUCAUAUUUCCUCUGCCUUUUUUGUUCUAUCAGGCCCCUAGCUGAUUGGAUGGUGCCUCCCCACAUUAAGGGUGAAUCUUCCCUACUCAGUUCACAAUCACACACACCUAUCUCCUCUGGAAACACCCUCACAGACAUAUCCAGAAAUAAUGCUUCAACAGUUCUCUAGGUAUUCCUUAAUCCAGUCGAGUUGACAUCUAAAAUUAACUGUCACAGGGAAGUUAGGCCAAGAUCCCAAAGCUGAGAACAGUAAGUGCCAAGUACUCCCACGGUUAAGGCAAGAUGGGCCAUUUAUAAAGGAAGUGGCAAAAAAAAAAAAAAUGUUCUGCCAGUGUUGGUUCAGAUUGUAUCAAAGAAUAAUUCAGUAGGAGGUAAGGGAUGGGAGGGUGUCUUAGAUCUGGCUGUUACAACACAUUACAAUAGACUGCGUGACUAAAGUAACAAACAUUUAUUUCUCAUGGUUCUGAAGGCUGGAAGCCGGAGAUCAGGGUGCCACCACAGUUAGGUUCUUGAUGAGGGUCUUCUUCCUAGUUAUGUUUUUGCAUGGCCUUUCCCUGGUGUGUGCAUGCAGGAAGAGCUCUCUCUUUCUUCUUCUUCUUUUUUUUUUUUUUUUUUUUUUUUUGAGAUGGAGUCUUGCUCCAUCACCAGGCUGGGGUGCAGUGGCACAAUCUCGGCUCACUGCAACCUCUGUUACCCAGGUUCAAGCAAUUCUCCUGCUUCAGCCUCCUGAGUAGCUGGGUUUACAGGUGUGUGCCACCACGCCCAGCCAACUUUUGUAUUUUUAGUAGAGACGGGGUUUCACCAUGUUGGUCAGGCUGAUCUCGAUCUCAUGACCUCGUGAUCUGACCGCCUCGGCCUCCCAAAGUGCUGGGAUUACAGGCAUGAGCCACUGUGUCCGGCCUCUUUCUUCUUUUUAUAAUGGCAUUCACCUCAUCAUGGAGGUCUCACCUAUGUGACCUCAUCUACACCCUCAAAAGACCCACACCUCCAAAUACCAUUAUAUUGGGAAUUAGGGCUUCAACAUAUAAAGUUUGCAGUGACCCACACAUUCAGUCCAUAACAGAGAGUAACGGUUAUUUCAAGAAAGAGUUGCCCAUGUUCUUGGAUAUUUGAAUUUCAUCCAUUAAGAAGGUCAAAGUAGGCAGACUUCAAGAGGGCCACUCAAAGUCUUAGCCCAUGAGCUCUGAAGUUCAGAAAAAACACAGAGACUAGAGCUUGACUUCCAUCUGGAAAAGUUGAACAAUUGGCAAGUUUUGCCAAAAAUUAAUGGAAGGGGAAAAAUUUGAGUAGGAGCAAGGUGAGCCUCCCUGCAUGGUGGAGCACAGGUAUAUCUUUUUUAUGGCCCAGAGAUGACCCAUGGUAGGUAGACUGCCAUAAGCCCUCUUGACAGGUUUUACCCAAGAAGACCACCUAGAGGGCUGAACCCUAGUGGAAUAGGAUACAUUGCCAGAGUCCGGAGGUUUGAGAGCAAUCAUAUCUGGAUAGCUAAAGGAAAUACGAGUGGUAUAGUAUAGCAACUGAACAUCUGAGAGAGAAGAUCUCUAAGGGACCCACGGAGGCACCCCAUAAAAGAAGCAUUUGGUCAUCUAGCUCACCCAGAAGGUACCAAUAUCUGAUUACAUUAGGGGAAAAAAAGGAAAUUAUGCUUUCACAUAUGACGGUGUUUUUAAAAGCUAUGGCAGCUUCUGGAGAGUUUACCCAUGAGUGCAAAAGAAUAAACCAACAGAGCGACUUUAAUGGGGAUGGUAAGAAACAAUAAAGUUGCCUUCUGUUUGAGCCCUAGUGAGUGCAGCUCGAUGAACUAGUUGAAAUCAUACAGAUUUUAAGGGAAGAGAGUUGGAACUCUGUGAUUAUCCAAAAAUGAGUCUCAGAAACAUUGCAAUGUUUCUUUUCACAAAGGUCCUU
rnacentral:lncRNA from 1 species